rnacentral:rRNA from 1 species
CCUACGGGAGGCUGCAGUAGGGAAUCUUCCACAAUGGGCGAAAGCCUGAUGGAGCAACGCCGCGUGGGUGAAGAAGGUCUUCGGAUCGUAAAACCCUGUUGUUAGAGAAGAAAGUGCGUGAGAGUAACUGUUCACGUUUCGACGGUAUCUAACCAGAAAGCCACGGCUAACUACGUGCCAGCAGCCGCGGUAAUACGUAGGUGGCAAGCGUUAUCCGGAUUUAUUGGGUUUAAAGGGUGCGUAGGCGGACAGUCAAGUCAGCGGUAAAAAUGCGGUGCUCAACGCCGUACAGCCGUUGAAACUGGCAGUCUUGAGUGGGCGAGAAGUAUGCGGAAGGCGUGGUGUAGCGGUUAAAUGCAGAGAUAUCACGCAGAACUCCGAUUGCGAAGGCAGCAUACCGGCGCCCGACUGAUGCUGAGGCACGAAAGCGUGGGUAUCGAACAGGAUUAGAUACCCCUGUAGUC